UACGGAGGAUUCGAGCGUUAUCCGGAUUUAUUGGGUUUAAAGGGAGCGUAGGCGGGUUGUUAAGUCAGUUGUGAAAGUUUGCGGCUCAACCGUAAAAUUGCAGUUGAUACUGGCAUCCUUGAGUACAGUAGAGGUAGGCGGAAUUCGUGGUGUAGCGGUGAAAUGCUUAGAUAUCACGGAGAACUCCGAUUGCGAAGGCAGCCUGCUGGACUGUAACUGACGCUGAUGCUCGAAAGUGUGGGUAUCAAACAGG
rnacentral:rRNA from 1 species